rnacentral:rRNA from 1 species
CCCUUAGAUGUUCUGGGCUGCACGCGCGCUACACUGAUGCGCUCAACGAGUUUUAACCUUGCCUGGAAAGGUUGGGUAAUCUUUUUAAAACGCAUCGUGAUGGGGAUAGAUUAUUGCAAUUAUUAAUCUUCAACGAGGAAUUCCUAGUAAGCGCGAGUCAUCAGCUCGUGCUGAUUACAUCCCUGCCCUUUGUACACACCGCCCGUCGCUCCUACCGAUUGAGUGAUCCGGUGAUUAAUUCGGACUGCGGCAUUGACCGGUUCCCGAUCGUUGCUGCGGAAAGUUUAGUGAACCUUAUCACUUAGAGGAAGGAGAAGUCGUAACA